AUCUAACCAACCCCCUCACCUUUGAGCUUGCAAAUUCUUACAUUUUCCUGAAGCAACCUCAUUAUUACAAAAGAUCUCAAGUGUAGGAAAGCAUUUUUUUUUUUCUAUUUUAAACAUCUCUCUUUUAGUCUCUGAUGCCAGGAACUUCUUGGUUCCUAAGAGGAUCCCAUAUGUGGAAUCAAUCUCUAGGACAUGCCAACAAGGUUCUGACUUAAAGCAAAUACUCAUCUCCUUUUCCAAGAUGGAGUACUCUAAAACAAAGGGACACUUUCUUGGAGGUUCAAGUCAACGUUCCUAUGUGUCUAUCUGACAUCCCUAAACAUGACAUGCAUGAAGAUCUUCCACAGUUUUCUCUUAAUUUUAGUUCAUGCGCUGUUUUCAGCUGUGAGAAAACAUCCCAGCCCUACCUUUCCGAACCACCCUCCAGCAGUAUGUGCGGAGAUCACCACUCCAUGUUGGUAGCACCUUCCACCUGAAAUGUUUUGGUCUAAAGCAGUUCAGACAGCACAGCUGUCAACUCAGGAGUCUCAUUAAACAUACUUCAAAAAUUCCGGAGUUCCCGUCGUGGCGCAGUGGUUAACGAAUCUGACUAGGAACCAUGAGGUUGCCGGUUCGGUCCCUGCCCUUGCUCAGUGGGUUAACGAUCCGGCGUUGCCGUGAGCUGUGGUGUAGGUCGCAGAUGCGGCUCGGAUCCCGCGUUGCUGUGGCUCUGGCGUAGGCUGGUGGCUACAGCUCCGAUUCGACCCCUAGCCUGGGAACCUCCAUAUGCUACAGGAGCGGCUGUCAAGUAAUUGUGAGAGAGAAGAGAAUGCAUUUGCAAUUUUUAAGUGCAUUUAAUGCCCAGUGAUUUCAUCACCUACCCUACAUUUAAAACUGGGAGCCAAUCCAGAAACCGAAGACAAUCAGAUAUUUGCAAAAAUAUGUUUACACUACACUAUCCAACAUUUGUACUGACAACAUUCCUGUAGAUGCUUCAACAUAUGCUGAUUUUAAAGAGUAGGUUUUGGAGUCGGGCUUCUAAUUUAUCACAUUUUAAUUAAGAAGUUAUUACCAGCCAAGUUACCAAAAGACUUAAUUUUCAAAAGGGUAAAUAACCCUUAAGGUGCUUUUUCCUCGGCAGUGAAAAUUACAAAUAAUGGCAUUACAACAUUGCUCUCACCAUUUAUCAUCUUACAAAAUGUAACGAAAAAUAUCUAAACUCACUGUAUUUUUAAGAAAAUAAAAGUAAUCCCCAUCAGAUACUUUCUAUAUUUUUUUAUGAACCACAGCGAGGAGACUGGAAGCAAAACACAAAAAUUCAUCCAGUCUGUUUCUUUAAGUUAUCUGAAUGGCCAUCUUCCUUCAUUAUGAGUCACUGCUUAUUCUCUUCUUUUACAAAAGUUGCUUUGCAGCAGGACAAUGUAUUUCAUUUGUAUUUUUUUCAAAACAUAUUAAGAAAUAACUAGUUGCUGAUUAAUCUAUUUUUAUUAAAGUAUAGUUGAUUUACAAUAUUGUGCCAAUUUCCGCUGUACAGCAAAAUGACUCAGUCAAACAUAUAAAUAUACAUUCUUUUUUAUAAAUAUUAUUUUCCAUCAUGGUCUAUCCUAGGAGACUGGCUAUAGUUUCCUGUGCUACACAAUAGGACCUUAUUAUCUAUCCACUCUACAUGUAAUAGUUUGUUGGAGUUCUCGUCCUGGCUCAGUGGUUAACGAAUCCAACUAGGAACCAUGAGGUUGCAGGUUCGAUCCCCGGCCUUGCUCAGUGGGUUAAGGAUCCAGUGUUGCCAUGAGCUGUCGUGUGAGGUCGCAGACGUGGCUCGGAUCCCACAUUGCUGUGGCUGUGGCGUAGGCCAGUGGCUACAGCUCCGAUUAGACCCCUAGCCUGCGAACUUCCAUAUGCCGCAGGAGUGGCCCUAGAAAAAAGGCAAAAAGAUAAAUGUGAUAGUUUGCAUCUAUAACCCCAAACUCCCAGUCCAUCCCACUCCCUCCCAGCUCCCCCUUGGCAACCACAACUCUGUUCUCCAUGGCUAAGAGUUAGAAACAACUAGCUCUUGAUUUGAGUCUCCAUUUAUUUAAGUUUCACAUCCUACUUACAUUAACUGACAUCCCUAAAUGUCUACUCUACAUGUAUGAAGCCCUGAAAUUAGCCUUAAAUCAUAAAUAAUUAGGUCCUAAAACCCCAAUUUUCAUUUCCGGUUUCACUGAAUUCUUCCAAUCACUUUUUUGUCUGCAGCCCUCCUCCUAUGAGGACCUUUACCAUAAGUUUCUUUACCAUUUUUUUUUUUCUGCCAACAGUUUAACAUGUUCUGUUUUCUGGCUUUGUCAUUUCCUCUCUGCCAUUUGAUAGGACCUCAGAUCCCUUAAUAUAAAGGAGUCACAAACGUAACUUCUGAGCCUGUUGUAUGCUACACUUUGAGUCACUUAUUUCUAUCUUAUUCAACAAGAACCUUUGGAAAACACUAAAACCCUAGUUUUACAGAAAAAGAAACUGAGACUCAAUGUGGUUAAAUAACUUAUACAUAAUCAGUCGAAUUCAAAGUCAAGUUCACUCUUCCUCCUGUAUGUAAUAUGCUGCUUCUCAUUGUUCACUGACAUUUACCUGUGCGAAUCAGAGUUUGUCAUUCAGGAUGCAGAAUUAUGCCCAAAAGAAUAAAGUCAAAGUAUCCCAGAAAGAGCCUACUCACUGGCCUUUUUGUAAUGUGAAGAAAUUAUAUCUACUAGAAUUAGAUUCCGAUGCAUAUGACAAACCCAAAAUAACACUGACUUAAAUGAGAUAGAAGUUUAAUUCUCUCUCUUGGACAACAAGUCAAGGUGAAUGAUCUAGAUUUCGUAUGGCAAUUCCACAAAGUCAAGUGCUCAUACUCCUUUUGGUUAACUACUCCAUACUCUCCAGGGUGUGAGUCUUGUCCUCACGAUCCAAAAUAGCCAUCAGAGCUCCGGCCAUCAAAUCUGUAUUCCAGGAACCAGGAUGAAGGAAUCAGGGAAAGAAAUACAUUGUCCAUCCUUUUUAAGGACACAUCUCAAAGUAACACUAGGUACUUUAACAUUUUCCCAAUAAAGAGAACUUAGUCACAUGUACUCUCUUGGCUAUAAAGGAAACUGAGGAAAUGUAUGUUUUUUUGACUGGAUAGUAAGGCAUUGAGUUGAAAACCAGAGUUUUAUUAUUACUAAAUCAAGUUAAGAAAGGAUAUUUGGAGGCAACUAGAUGAACCUGCCGCAAAAUUUGCAUAUAAUCUGAUUUAUUCAUAAAAAUCAAAAUUUUCAAGCAGAUCAGAGAUAAUUGAGACUGACAAGCCCAAUGUUAUCUUUCAGGUAAAAUAUAUCACCCCACUGAUUUCAUCUCAUUAUAGGCAGUCAAACGAAUAAGUGUGAUUUUACAUUUUUGGAACUUAUUUUCAACAUUUACUAGGUCUAUCAGACAAAAUCAAGGGAGAUUUGUUUUAUAAAUGGUGGUCUUUUUCCAGUGUUAAAAUACAGGGUACUGGAUUAGAAGCAAACUCUACCAAGGGGGAUGUGCCACAGACUUUAAAUGGUCACUUAACUUCUAAAACUCUUCUAAUAUCCAGAGGUCACUAACAAAUAACCAAAUAGAGAACACAGGGAAAAAAAAACACUUUCGCAAAUGUUGAAAGGUGCUCUAGUAAUUAAACCUACUCCCCAGGUUAACAAACUACUUAUAUAGUCUACAACUAUUCUCAUAUAUGCUAUACUUAUAUUAGUAUUUAAAAACUUGCAACUUGAACGUAAGAAGGCUUUUUUCUUGGUCCCUGAUGUCACCUACACGACAGUCUUUUCUACUAGAAGUCAGACUUUUAUGACAAGACAUUUGAGAAAAACACAAACAUCAUCUCAGAAACAAAAACCAAAAAAAAAUUUCUCACAAGUUUUGGAGAAAAGAGGAUGGAGGCAUUGCAUACAUAACAAAGCAAAUGUCCUUGACAAUUCUCUUUAAAUAUUUUCCCCCAACGUCUCAGUCCUGUGCUCAUGUCUCCUCUCUCUCAAACACCUUCCCAACUUCCCAAAAUCAUUUCCCAUAGCCCAUCUGAUUGCAAUCAGCUAGACAAAGCUAGACCAACAGUCCUCAGCAAAAUAAAACCAAGUCAUGUGGCAUCCCUUGUUCUGCCAUCUCGGCACUCCCAACACAUACGUGCACCCACACAUGCAUGUGCACACAUGCAUACACACACAUUCAUACACACACACAACCAUACAUAUACAAAACCUUUCCAUGUCUUCCAUGGUAACAUGACGUCAUUUCUCCUAAUUCAAUCCAUAAUCAAGAUAG
rnacentral:lncRNA from 1 species